UUGAACUGAAGAGUUUGAUCAUGGCUCAGAUUGAACGCUGGCGGCAGGCCUAACACAUGCAAGUCGAGCGGUAGAGAGAAGCUUGCUUCUCUUGAGAGCG
rnacentral:rRNA from 1 species